rnacentral:rRNA from 1 species
GACGAACGCUGGCGGCGUGCCUAACACAUGCAAGUCGAACGGAGCUUUUAUGGAAUGCGACUUCGGUCAAAUGAAGUUUAAGCUUAGUGGCGGACGGGUGAGUAACGCGUGAGCAACCUGCCUUUCAGAGGGGGACAACAGUUGGAAACGACUGCUAAUACCGCAUAUGCCUAAGUACCACAUGGUACAAUAGGGAAAGAGCAAUCCGCUGAUAGAUGGGCUUGCGUCUGAUUAGAUAGUUGGUGGGGUAACGGCCUACCAAGUCGACGAUGGGUAGCCGGACUGAGAGGUUGAACGGCCACAUUGGAACUGAGAUACGGUCCAGACUCCUACGGGAGCAGCAGUGGGGAAUAUUGGGCAAUGGGGGAAACCCUGACCCAGCGACGCCGCGUGAAGGAGAGGGUCUUCGGGAUUG